rnacentral:misc_RNA from 1 species
UCCCUGUUACCAGGGCAGUCUUGCCUGAGAAAUACAACAGACAAUAAGGGUUGCGCUCGUUGAUGGACUUAACCAAACAUCUCACGACACGAGCUGACGACGGCCAUGCAUCACCUGUCACUUGGCUCAAUAAAGCACUCUCGCCUUUCGGCAAAAUUCCAAGGAUGUCAAACCUGGGUAAGGUUCUUCGUUUACCAUCGAAUUAAACAACACGCUCCACCGCUUGUGCGGGUCCCCGUCAAUUCCUUUAUGUUUUAGUCUUGCGACCGUACUCCACAGGCGGGAUGCUUAACGCGUUAGCUUCGCUACUAGAGGGGUCGAUACCUCUAACAGCUAGCAUCCAUCGUUUACGGCGUGGACUAC